rnacentral:rRNA from 1 species
GCAAGUCGUGGGGCAGCAGGUCUGUAGCAAUACAGAUGCUGGCGACCGGCAAACGGGUGCGGAACACGUACACAACCUUCCUUUAAGUGGGGAAUAGCCCGGGGAAACCCGGAUUAAUACCCCGUAACAUAUUGAAAAGGCAUCUUUUUAAUAUUAAAGCUCCGGCGCUUAAUGAUGGGUGUGCGCCUGAUUAGGUAGUUGGCGGGGUAACGGCCCACCAAGCCUUCGAUCAGUAACUGGUGUGAGAGCACGACCAGUCACACGGGCACUGAGACACGGGCCCGACUCCUACGGGAGGCAGCAGUAAGGAAUAUUGGUCAAUGGACGCAAGUCUGAACCAGCCAUGCCGCGUGGAGGAUGAAGGUCCUCUGGAUUGUAAACUUCUUUUAUCUGGGACGAAAAAGGGUCUUUCUAGAUCAACUGACGGUACCAGAUGAAUAAGCACCGGCUAACUCCGUGCCAGCAGCCGCGGUAAUACGGAGGGUGCAAGCGUUAUCCGGAUUCACUGGGUUUAAAGGGUGCGUAGGUGGGUCUGUAAGUCAGUGGUGAAAUCCCCGAGCUUAACUUGGGAACUGCCAUUGAUACUAUAGCUCUUGAAUACUGUGGAGGUCAGCGGAAUAUGUCAUGUAGCGGUGAAAUGCUUAGAUAUGACAUAGAACACCAAUUGCGAAGGCAGCUGGCUACACAAAUAUUGACACUGAGGCACGAAAGCGUGGGGAUCAAACAGGAUUAGAUACCCUGGUAGUCCACGCCCUAAACUAUGGAUACUCGACAUUUGCGAUACACUGCAAGUGUCUGAGCGAAAGCAUUAAGUA